UUAAGUUAUUAAGGGCGCACGGUGGAUGCCUUGGCACUAGAAGCCGAUGAAGGACGUUACUAACGACGAUAUGCUUUGGGGAGCUGUAAGUAAGCUUUGAUCCAGAGAUUUCCGAAUGGGGAAACCCAGCAUGAGUUAUGUCAUGUUAUCGAUAUGUGAAUACAUAGCAUAUCAGAAGGCACACCCGGAGAACUGAAACAUCUUAGUACCCGGAGGAAGAGAAAGAAAAUUCGAUUCCCUUAGUAGCGGCGAGCGAAACGGGAAGAGCCCAAACCAACAAGCUUGCUUGUUGGGGUUGUAGGACACUCUGUACGGAGUUACAAAGGACGACAUUAGACGAAUCAUCUGGAAAGAUGAAUCAAAGAAGGUAAUAAUCCUGUAGUCGAAAAUGUUGUCUCUCUUGAGUGGAUCCUGAGUACGACGGAGCACGUGAAAUUCCGUCGGAAUCUGGGAGGACCAUCUCCUAAGGCUAAAUACUCUCUAGUGACCGAUAGUGAACCAGUACCGUGAGGGAAAGGUGAAAAGCACCCCGGAAGGNGAGUGAAAUAGAACCUGAAACCGUGUGCUUACAAGUAGUCAGAGCCCGUUAAUGGGUGAUGGCGUGCCUUUUGUAGAAUGAACCGGCGAGUUACGAUUUGAUGCAAGGUUAAGCAGUAAAUGUGGAGCCGUAGCGAAAGCGAGUCUGAAUAGGGCGUUUAGUAUUUGGUCGUAGACCCGAAACCAGGUGAUCUACCCUUGGUCAGGUUGAAGUUCAGGUAACACUGAAUGGAGGACCGAACCGACUUACGUUGAAAAGUGAGCGGAUGAACUGAGGGUAGCGGAGAAAUUCCAAUCGAACCUGGAGAUAGCUGGUUCUCUCCGAAAUAGCUUUAGGGCUAGCCUCAAGUGAUGAUUAUUGGAGGUAGAGCACUGUUUGGACGAGGGGCCCCUCUCGGGUUACCGAAUUCAGACAAACUCCGAAUGCCAAUUAAUUUAACUUGGGAGUCAGAACAUGGGUGAUAAGGUCCGUGUUCGAAAGGGAAACAGCCCAGACCACCAGCUAAGGUCCCAAAAUAUAUGUUAAGUGGAAAAGGAUGUGGCGUUGCCCAGACAACUAGGAUGUUGGCUUAGAAGCAGCCAUCAUUUAAAGAGUGCGUAAUAGCUCACUAGUCGAGUGACACUGCGCCGAAAAUGUACCGGGGCUAAACAUAUUACCGAAGCUGUGGAUUGUCCUUUGGACAAUGGUAGGAGAGCGUUCUAAGGGCGUUGAAGCAUGAUCGUAAGGACAUGUGGAGCGCUUAGAAGUGAGAAUGCCGGUGUGAGUAGCGAAAGACGGGUGAGAAUCCCGUCCACCGAUUGACUAAGGUUUCCAGAGGAAGGCUCGUCCGCUCUGGGUUAGUCGGGUCCUAAGCUGAGGCCGACAGGCGUAGGCGAUGGAUAACAGGUUGAUAUUCCUGUACCACCUAUAAUCGUUUUAAUCGAUGGGGGGACGCAGUAGGAUAGGCGAAGCGUGCGAUUGGAUUGCACGUCUAAGCAGUAAGGCUGAGUAUUAGGCAAAUCCGGUACUCGUUAAGGCUGAGCUGUGAUGGGGAGAAGACAUUGAGUCUUCGAGUCGUUGAUUUCACACUGCCGAGAAAAGCCUCUAGAUAGAAAAUAGGUGCCCGUACCGCAAACCGACACAGGUAGUCAAGAUGAGAAUUCUAAGGUGAGCGAGCGAACUCUCGUUAAGGAACUCGGCAAAAUGACCCCGUAACUUCGGGAGAAGGGGUGCUCUUUAGGGUUAACGCCCAGAAGAGCCGCAGUGAAUAGGCCCAAGCGACUGUUUAUCAAAAACACAGGUCUCUGCUAAACCGUAAGGUGAUGUAUAGGGGCUGACGCCUGCCCGGUGCUGGAAGGUUAAGAGGAGUGGUUAGCUUCUGCGAAGCUACGAAUCGAAGCCCCAGUAAACGGCGGCCGUAACUAUAACGGUCCUAAGGUAGCGAAAUUCCUUGUCGGGUAAGUUCCGACCCGCACGAAAGGCGUAACGAUUUGGGCACUGUCUCAACGAGAGACUCGGUGAAAUCAUAGUACCUGUGAAGAUGCAGGUUACCCGCGACAGGACGGAAAGACCCCGUGGAGCUUUACUGUAGCCUGAUAUUGAAAUUCGGCACAGCUUGUACAGGAUAGGUAGGAGCCUUUGAAACGUGAGCGCUAGCUUACGUGGAGGCGCUGGUGGGAUACUACCCUAGCUGUGUUGGCUUUCUAACCCGCACCACUUAUCGUGGUGGGAGACAGUGUCANGCGGGCAGUUUGACUGGGGCGGUCGCCUCCUAAAAGGUAACGGAGGCGCUCAAAGGUUCCCUCAGAAUGGUUGGAAAUCAUUCAUAGAGUGUAAAGGCAUAAGGGAGCUUGACUGCGAGACCUACAAGUCGAGCAGGGUCGAAAGACGGACUUAGUGAUCCGGUGGUUCCGCAUGGAAGGGCCAUCGCUCAACGGAUAAAAGCUACCCCGGGGAUAACAGGCUUAUCUCCCCCAAGAGUUCACAUCGACGGGGAGGUUUGGCACCUCGAUGUCGGCUCAUCGCAUCCUGGGGCUGUAGUCGGUCCCAAGGGUUGGGCUGUUCGCCCAUUAAAGCGGUACGCGAGCUGGGUUCAGAACGUCGUGAGACAGUUCGGUCCCUAUCCGUCGUGGGCGUAGGAAAUUUGAGAGGAGCUGUCCUUAGUACGAGAGGACCGGGAUGGACAUACCUCUGGUGUACCAGUUGUCGUGCCAACGGCAUAGCUGGGUAGCUAUGUGUGGACGGGAUAAGUGCUGAAAGCAUCUAAGCAUGAAGCCCCCCUCAAGAUGAGAUUUCCCAACUUCGGUUAUAAGAUCCCUCAAAGAUGAUGAGGUUAAUAGGUUCGAGGUGGAAGCAUGGUGACAUGUGGAGCUGACGAAUACUAAUCGAUCGAAGACUUAAUCAA
rnacentral:rRNA from 1 species